CACGUAGGGGGCAAGCGUUGUCCGGAUUUAUUGGGCGUAAAGAGCUCGUAGGUGGUUUGUCGCGUUGUUCGUGAAAACUCACAACUCAAUUGUGGGCGUGCGGGCGAUACGGGCAGACUGGAGUACUGCAGGGGAGACUGGAAUUCCUGGUGUAGCGGUGGAAUGCGCAGAUAUCAGGAGGAACACCGGUGGCGAAGGCGGGUCUCUGGGCAGUAACUGACGCUGAGGAGCGAAAGCGUGGGGAGCGAACAGG
rnacentral:rRNA from 1 species